rnacentral:piRNA from 1 species
UAGAAGGUGAAAUGAUUGUUCUGGGAAUC